UUACAAUUCAAAAAAUACGCGUGAAAUCAGUAAACACCAACUUCAAGUUAGGACUGUUGGACAGACCAAGCAUUUUAUUAUUAUAUAUAAUAUUUUAUUUUUUGACAAAUAAUUUAAAAAAUCCUUUUUCAUUUUUUAAAUAUAUAUAUGUCUCGAGAAACUCGAUGAGUUGGUUUCUGACUUCAAGUUGAUUAAAACGAUCGCUUUUUUUAUAAUUAUUUUUUCCCCCUUUCGUUUAUUAAAUAUUUAUAAUAUGUCUUGUUGUCGAAGGAACAGUAAUGACAAAAAUCUUGAAAAACACAGUUAUGACGAUCAAAAUGAAAAAAAUAUGGAAAAAAAUGUACAAAAUAACCCUAAUUAUUAUGAUGCAAAAUGUCAAAAUCUAGGAAAACAGGAACUAAAUAAUAAUGGAAUUGAAAAUUCGACACGAUUUUCAAUUAGAGUAAUGGAAGCAAUGCGUUCUCUUCAACGAAAUAAUAACGAUAAAUCCUUGCCCUCAUCAAAUAUCAAGGAUAUAGCGGAAUAUAUAAAAGCAAAUUAUAAUUUUGAUGGAGACCUUGACGCUCAGGUGCAAACGGUCUUGUCACGAAUUUGGCGUCAAGGCGUAGAUUUACAAUGAAAAUCAACAAGAACGAUUACAUUCUGAUGGGUCCAUUUGCUACAUGUCUAAAUAGGGUUCAUAAUUUUUUAACUUCUCAAUCAUCGUGCAAGAGAAAAUAUAAAUCAAGAUCUGAAUCAAGAUGUUCGAAAAAGCGAAAAAAGGAAAAAAAAUCUAAGAAAAAACGAAAAAAUAAAGAAUGUAUAAAAAUAAUUUCAGAUCAUUCUGAACCAAAAGAAGAAAAUUUGACAGAAAAUAAUAUAUCAUCAAAAAGUCAAAAAAAACAUUUUUCUAUAGAUAGAAGUAGAUCUUCCUUAAGAAAAGAGGCUCAAGCAUCCUCAAAAAAUCAAAGUAAACAUCGACUUAAAAAAUUGAAAAGUUCACAAAAAAGGAAUCGUUCAGCAGAAAAAUCAGAAUGUGGAUGUGGACGUACUCAUAACAACAAUGAGAUUGACGAAGAUUUUCAAUCAGCAAAUUCGCCUAACACUUUUGUAACAUGCCAAGAAUUAAAUACAGGACGUUUGAUAGCUCAAAAUAAAAUUUUAAACAGCGUUUCUAAUCUAAACAACAAAUUUUAUAAUUCCUCCCCAGAAAUGGAUGAAAAUUCAACAAAUUCUGAAGAAGAAAAUUCCAGUGACAGUGUUUAUCAAGAAUUGAAAUCGAAAAAAAUUAAACAUCAUAGUUCCAAUAAUAAAGAUUUGAAAAAAUGGAUCAAACAUUGUCGACAGAAAUGUCCUCGUAAUUGAAAAAUAUAAUAAAAUUUCAAUAAUCUACAAAAUAUUCAUUAAAAUUACAAGACAAAAAAAAGGAAGAAAUAAAAAAUUCAUCAAACAUAGAGAAAUAUAUAAAACAUUAUACAAAAAAUGCAAAAAAAGAACAAAAUCGUAAAAUUAUACCCAAAGGAAAAUAUAAAAAGAAAAACGAAUAUAGAAAUUAAAAAGAAAUUAUACAAACGUAAAAAUAAAAAUUAAUUGCCUAAAAAUAUACUCUCAAUAAGUUAAA